rnacentral:rRNA from 1 species
UACGUAGGUGGCAAGCGAUACUCGGAAUCACUAGGCGUAAAGCGCAGGUAGGCGGUUCAGUAAGUCUUUUGUGAAAGCUCCCGGCUCAACUGGGAGAGGCCAAGGGAAACUACUGGACUAGAGUGUGGUAGGGGAUACUGGAAUUCUUGGUGUAGCGGUGAAAUGCGUAGAUAUCAGGAGGAAUACCUAUGGCGAAAGCAGGUAUCUGGGCCAUCACUGACGCUGAGCUGCGAAAGCUAGGGGAGCAAACAGG